rnacentral:rRNA from 1 species
UAAUGUCUGGGAAACUGCCUGAUGGAGGGUAAAAACUACUGGAAACGGUAGCUAAUACCGCAUAACGUCGCAAGACCAAAGAGGGGGACCUUUUCGGGCCUCUUGCCUCGGAUGUGCCCAGAUGGGAUUACUAGUAGGUGGGGUAACGGCUCACCUAGGCGACGAGGUCUAGCUGGUCUGAGAGGAUGACCAGCCACACUGGAACUGAGACACGGUCCAGACUCCUACGGGAGGCAGCCCAGUGGGGAAUAUUACAAUGGGCGCAAGCCUGAUGCAGCCAUGCCGCGUGUAUGGAAGGCCUUCGUUGUAAAAAAGUACUUUAACAGCGGGGAGAAGGGAGUAAAGUUAAUACCUUUGCUCAUUACGUUACCCGCAGAAGAAGCUUACCGGCUAACUCCGUGCAGCAGCCGCGGUAAUACGGAGGGUGCAACGUUAAUCGGAAUUACUGGGAACGUAAAGCACUGCAGGCGGUUUGUUAAGUCAGAUGUGAAAUCCCCGGGCUCAACCUGGGAACUGCAUCUGAUAGGCAAGCUUAAGAGUCUCGUAGAGGGGGGUAGAAUUCCAGGUGUAGCGGUGAAUGCGAGAGAUCAAAAUGGAGGAAUACCGGGCGAAGGCGGCCCCCUGGACGAAGACUGACGCUCAGGUGCGAAAGCGUGGGGAGAACACAGGAUUAGAUACCCUGGUAGUCCACGCCGUAAACGAUGUCGACUUGGAGGUUGUGUUGAGGCGGCUUCCGGUUUAGCUAACGCGUUAAGUAACGACCGCCUGGGGAGUACGGCCGCAAGGUUAAACUCAAAUGAAUUGACGGGGGCCGGCCACAAGCGGUGGAGCAUGUGGUUUAAUUCGAUGCAACGCGAAGAACCUUACCUGGUCUUGACAUCCGGAAGUUAAUUCAGAGAUGAGAAUGUGCCUUCGGGAACCGUGAGACAGGUGCUGCAUGGCUGUCGUCAGCUCGUGUUGUGAAAUGUUGGGUUAAGUCCCGCAACGAGCGCAACCCUUAUCCUUUUGCCAGCGGUCCGGCCGGGAACUCAAAGGAGACCCUGCCAGUGAUAAACUGGAGGAAGGUGGGGAUGACGUAGCAUCAUGGCCCUUAGUACGACCAGGGCUACACACGUGCUACAAUGGCGCAUA